UUGGCAUACACAGCACUUCACAAAAUAUAGAAAUAGGUCAUAUUCUAUCCAAAUUACAGAGAUAUGGCAAAGCCAGUAAUAAGCUACACAACUUUCCUUGCUCUCUUCUUCUGUUUCCUCCUCAUUGCUUCCAAUGAGAUGCAAGUGGCUGAGGGAAAAGUUGGUAUUUGCCCAGUUAAGAGCAGGUUAUAUAGCGGUCGUUGCGUUAGCAGUAGAUGCAACAACGUGUGCCAAAGGUUAGAGAGGACACGCUAUGGUCGUUGUGUUAGAAGUGCUUGCCGCUGCUACGUCGCUUGUAUGAAUGUCUAAUAUAUAUAAUACUCCAUGUUGUGAUCUUGAAUAAAGUCACUACCAUUUCACUAGAAUUGGAGUGAUUGUGAGAAAGUAUAUAUGGUACUACAUACUCAUUUGUGUUUGUAUAAUUGCAUAUUGUACGUUUUCUGCUUGGAAGUCAUGUACUCAAGUUUUAUUUGGUGACAACUCAUGAGAAGUGAAGUAAUCGAAAUCGUUAUAAUUCUGAUUGAGUUGACUGGA